GUCACACCUUGGAUAUCACAUCACUGAUAAACCGAUAUUGACAAAAUCUAAAUUUUGUCUUGCUUAGAAAGACAGUAUUCUAGUAACUAAUAAAUCUAUAAUCAUAUAGCUUUUCAGAAAUUCUGAGAGCUUUGGCGUUUCCGCCAAGCAGCACUGCGUGAAGGAUGAUUCUCAUUGGUCCGCUCUCAUUGUCACUCUCGAAUGUCACACUAAGCGGGUAAUUUGAAUUUGUUAUAUGCAUUUUAAUUGUUUGAAUUUCAUAGGGUGGGAACUGUUAGCUCCGGAUAAAUUUAUUUGAGUAA